rnacentral:misc_RNA from 1 species
AUCAAAAUAAGUAAUGAUCAUUAUAUUAGUUAAAAUAUAAUUGAUUAUAUAAUACAAUUGUUAUUCUAUCAUAUCAAAUGCUUUUGUGUUACCAAACAAAGUAAUAAAAUAUGCAAUAUAAUGGUAAUUACAUUAUAACUUUAUUACACCCUACUUAAACAUAGCCUUAAUGCUGAUACCAUAUCAUACAUCUUUAAGCGGUGGACAAAAGAGGCACAUAUCAUUCCAUGUCUUUAUCCUCUUCACUAGCAAUACUAACAGGUUGAUCACUAUCAUCAGCUUCCGCCAAAUCUUCAUCAGCAUUAGAAUUUUGAUCAUCCGCAUAAGCUUGGGAGCUUACUACUUGACCCAUCAAGUCUUUAUGUUUAAGAUUUCCCAUCCAAAAAGUACAUGCACUUGACUUUGUAUGAAGAAGAGCCUUCACAUGGAACAAAAAACGUUCUAUAGAUCGUUUUGUUGGAGGAAUUUUGCUAGUGAUAGCAAUUUGUUUCAAGCCCUUUGCUUCAGAGCAUAGUGUCUGUAUUGUUCUUGUGGCCUUUUGAAGCUCCUUCACCAAGUGGAUUAUAAUCUCAUUGUGUGUUUGAAAGUGGGCCUGUAAGAAGUCAAACACUUUAAGGAAUGAAUCAACAAACUUCCCACCAUAUUUGACAGCCAUGGCAUGCACAAUUACCUUGUCAUGAGUCCUGCACAUACUAACUAAUGAAACCACCACAUUCACAGACAUUUGUAUUUUGGCCAAGUGCUUUUCAACAUUUUCGAGCUGAACGCCAGCUCUGGGUUUCCUGAGAAUGGCAUCCUUAACCACGCUUUUAAGAAUAGCAAGGUUCUCUUCAUGCAGCACACGAUACCACAUCGCAAAUGUUUCAUUGCAGAGAGUCGAAAAACCAUGAUUAUCAUACUCAGUCGCUGUUCUACAUGACGAAACCUGAGGCAAAAUGGAGCAGGCCAGCUCAUCCAGCAAAUCAGACUUAGACUCACUAUUCUCCAUGUAAAUAUACAAUAUUUUUUGCAUGAUUUCUCCUUUGUUUUUCCAACCAUUCUCUAGGUUUACAUCAUCCCAGUUGUUCUUCAGAAGCUUCUGGGCUGAACUUCCAAGUAUGCUGCGCAAGGUUGGAAGCACCCUAUGAAUGGAUAUUGAGUGUGUGCUUUCACCAUUCCUCCCCAACUUAUCAAGGAAUGUCUGGACUGAGGUAACAAUUGAUUCUAGGGUAAAAAGAGACACUGAAGCCAACAUAAAGGACGAUAAACAUGCUGCAUUCAACACAUCUUCUAAAAAUGAAGCAACACCUAGAUAUAAAUAUUCAGUUGUCCCAGGUAAAGGCCUAGGUUGUAUGUCAGAGAAAACAUUCUCAGAUAUUUUGCUGGGCUGGAAGGCUUCAAGCAGAUCUGAGAGAACUGCUUUUCCCAUUUGCACUUCAGGAAGGUCUAACAUCUUACUAAAACAAUGAAGUACUUCUUUAGAUACCAAAACAGAAACAGAAGAUUUUGAAAAUGCAAGCUUGGUAAUCUCUGGGUUGCCCGCAGCUGAAGAUUGCACUUUCCAAUGUUCUUCACAAGUUCCAUCACCUUCUAAAAGAAUAGAAACUGCACAAUCAAAAUGCCUUCUGAGAAUUGGGAAGAGUGGUCUAAUUUUGGUCAAGAAUUCUUCCACAGUCAUUCUGCAGAAACCAGGAGCAGGAUUUGUGCAUCUGGAUGAGAAUUGCUUUCCAGGAGUGAAGUAGUCCAGCUUGUUGUGAAGAUCACGCAAAAGGUAUAGAUACGGGGGUAACUCAGCUGCAGGAUCAGAACAACAGGAGCCCUGCUUCUUUGAAAAUUCCAGAAGAGAAAAGCAUUGAAUCAGAAGAGGCCUAAAUUUAAAUCUCUGUGCAUUUAGAGCCUUGGUAGCUCCAGGAACCUCUAAAAUUUUCUGUUCAAUUGCAUCAGGUUCUUGAUCUGUAGAAUUGAGUAACUUCAAAGAUUGGCCAGAAGAAUCCUCGUGUAAGACCUGUUGGCUAGUUAUAGCUCUCCCUUUCCUCAACACAUCAAAUAUUGUUGGCUGCUGGAGUUUUCUGUUUGUACCUGAAAUUGAUGGAGUUGAGACUUUUUGAUGUUGUCUCUUGUUUGGAGAUGUGGUAUCGUGUGUUUUCUUAUGCUUAUUCUUAUUUUCCGCGUGCACCAUAUCAUAGGCAUUAUCUAAGAGUGAAGCUCCAGAAUGCUGCACAUGAAGAUGGACAUCUGGUAGAGACAUAGGAUGGCACUGAAUGGAAUUAUUUAAUAAGCUUUCCAGAAAUACUAGAUUCCUCAGUCGCUUCAAUAGUUUGGCAAUUAUAUCCUCCUUUGUAGCUUGGCUUAUGCAUUCAAAUCCUCGAGCAACUUGUGUACAGAAAGCAUUAAGCAAUUCUCUAAUCCAGUUGGUUGCAUAAUAAAGAGAAAGGCAAACAAUCUGUUUCUGCUUUGCUGUAAGCGACUUCCAGCCAGCUAUAGAGAAGUACUUAGAUGAGGGAAGGUGUAAAGGGCAGCCUAGUAAUGCAUCAAUUCCACCAAGAGAUCCCCGAUUUGUCAACCUCUCCACAACCGAAAGUAAAAGAAAGUACGCAGGGAGAAUUUGUAAAGUUGUAGACUGCAAGGAAGAGGAGGCCAAUGGAAAGAUAUUCAAACAAACAGGAGAUAUGUCACCAUCUAGAUUCAUCCAUAGUUCUCCUUCUAAACCGCCAUAUGCAUCAGUACCAUGCAAUUGGCCACCAUCAAGAUCAGAUAGAAACAUAGAUUCAAAAUCGUCAAUAUGUCUGGCAGUCCAUUCAAUAAUUGCUGGCUGAAGUCUUUUAUGUUCUAGCAUUACAGUCAGUUCAUCAUAAAAAAGGAUCAAUGGUAAGCAAAAAUGUUUGGAAGAAUCCAAAGAUGUUCUUAAGAGUUCCAAAGCCUCCUCACAGUUGGUUGUCUCGAAUGAUGAACCACUAACUUUACUUGCAUCUGCAAGACAAGAGACCACUUUUAGAGUUCCGAUUAAACCCAUCUUUUUGUACUUCAGAUCUGGAUGGCUGACCUGUUUCCGCAGUAUCAUGAAAAGUUCACUUCCAAAGGAAGACCCCAAACAUUCCACACUAGAUGGAGCCAACAGUGCCAGGUGACUGAAAAUUUCAUAAACCUUAUGCAGAUUUUCAAUGUUAAACCCCUCCAAGUAAUCCAAUAUACCAUUUAUAUGAGUAGAAAGUGGAAUUAAUUCUUGGGCAUAUUUGGAGGCCAUGAAAGCCAUGGUCUCCAAAGCAGAAGUCACUUCAAAGCUAACUCCAGAACCCACAUGAGUUACAAGUGCACUAAGAACUUCCUGUCUAAAGUAAGAAUCGCCAAACUCUUCAAACAAGCAUGCGUAAAUGUGAGUGCCAAACUCCCUUGCCUUCUGUUCUCUACAUGCCAACAAGUACUCGGACAAAGAAAGAAAUGAUGGAAAAUAAUCCUGUACAACUUCCUUGUUCCCAUGAAUACACUGGUCAAUCAUAACUUUCUGAAUACAGUUUUCAACAACUUUCUUCCUAAAAAUCUUCUCAAUGCUCUUUUGCAUUGACUUUCCUUUCAUGUAUAUCAACACAAGCAGCCACAAGUCUAUGAUCUUGUGAUCCUGAGGCUUCUCAAGGCUAAUCAGUAAUUUCAAAAUCUCUUGACAUAGCAUACUCUUAGAUAGAAGACUAGUUCUCAAGGCAUCAAGAGUAGAUGCCUCUGUAUUGGCCAUAAGUGAUUUUCCUUUGAGUUUUUUGUGCUGCAUUUCAUGAGAUAUUCCUAUAAACUUAAGCUGCUCACGAAUGUGUGAUAUUAUUCUUCGAACAUUUAGAGGUGUCGCUGAAAGCAGUAAGAAUCUAAGCAAAUGAGGCAUUUGUUCCCCAUCAAUUGUUCUAAUGUACGAUAUUGCUAUGGUAAUAACCUACAAAAUGAAAAACUAUUUUUGAGAAAGGCACAUAUGCUGGGCAACAAUUCUCCAGCUGCAUUGUUUCUCGUAUAAUUUUAAGGGCAACUUAAAGCGAAGCAAAAUUAACAAUUGGCGAUAUGAAGGAUCUGAGAAAAAAUAGAGCUUCAGUAAGUUGAAUUAUUAAACAUUUGAUUUUAUGAGGAGUGAUGUAAAAACAAAAGGAUAAUAGAAAACCUGUUCUUGCAAUAUGUCAUCCAAAUUAAGGUUUGAAAAACAGUCAAGCACAGGCAUGAUGAUAGAAGAGUCUUCUUGGAGCAUUUCUCCAAGGGAAUCAACAACAGCCUUAUUGCUUUGAUCACCAACAAUCUCCGGCAAGGAUCCAAUAACCUCUUUCUUCAAGUGUAAAGGGCAGAUAAUGAGAACUUGCAUCAAUUUUUCACAGAAGGCACAACAAUCAACUAUAAAAUCAAGCCACCGAAAAUGAUUAAUGAUAAGCCGUGCAACAUCAUCCUCAAGCGAACACUCUGGAUCAACAUCGAAAUAUUCAGGAAUUUUCUCGAGAAACAAUAUCUGGAGGUCCAAUUGGAUGACCGGGACCAGCAAAAGUUGUCGAAGUAAGCUUUCACUUCUGCCACUUUGAUUUGAAGGAACCAAAACCCUUCGAAGAUUUUUAGGGCAGUCAAUGAAAGAGGAGAAGCCAGCAAGGAAAUGGGAGCGAAGGUCACAGCCGUCACUGGAAGCCGAAAAUAAGCGGUCGAGAUGAGAGCGGAACUUGAGGGGAUCGGAAGGCAGGCAGGGUGGACCCGAGGGAUUUAUCAGCGUACAGCCCGCAUCUGCCAGAAUAGAUACCAUCUUAUCAAUUGCUACUGCUGGACUAUCCUCCAUAACGCCAUUGUUUUCUGAAAAUGAUGGUGCUCCGGUGGCGGUGGUUUUGGGGAUUUUGAGUUCAGGGAGAGGAGAGACAAAGGACGAAGAGGCAGGUCUCUUACGAGAAGGCAAUUGUUGGUGGAGGAAUACCAUUUUUGGCCGGUGAAAUUCCAGUUCACGAGCUUCUUUGGCGGUGUUUUCUGCUACUUCAAAGAGAAGAUGACUCGGAGAAAACAGGACUGAUAUGGCGCCAAAUUCCUGAUUAGG